ACACACUUACACACUCUAGUGUCUGUCAGGUGUCAAGCUCGCACACCUGCCUGAGCUUCUAGUCACUCGCACCUGUUCUGCAUCCAAUUAGAGGGCCUUUAUUAGUCCAUCGCACCCUCCAGCCAUUGUCGGUUCGUCUGUUUUUCUCUAUGGAAGAAACCACCGAUCUCUGCGGGUUGAAGCCAAGCCAAGCCAAUCUCCAAAAGCCAAGCUAAGUGGAAACUGCUGUUGAUGUACGCUCAGACUGUCCGACAGCGCUCAGACGUCACUGCGAGAACUGUGUGUGGGACCUUCGCUCAGCUCCACAGCAGUACCGAAAAGAGCUGAAUCACGUCACAAUAACAACAGGGCCCUGCUUCAAGCUUUGAUUGAUGGAUUUCUGCAGGCAUCCUACCCUCCUCCCAUCAUUGCCUUCCCUGCAUGCAUGGAGACUGAAUGUGCGGUGAUAAUGGAGUGAGCUUUAAUGCUGGCUUGAAAAAUGCUUUUCAUGACCAAAAUAAGAGACUUCUGAGGACUUGACAUCAAGGACUCUUUUUAAAUCAGUUGUUCAGAUGUUUUCAGAGCUCAGCUUUCAGCAGUAGUAGAGGACUGUUCAUGUGGAUGGAGCAAACCGAAAUCCAUCUUCAUAGCAGAUUUUGUUCAAGCUCAGGUGGGUAGAAAGGAUGCUAACCUGUGCAACAGCCAUGAGACAACUUUUAACAUGUCCUCCGCAUUACUUAAAGGGGCAUCCAACCCACCCAGUGCUUGCACUUCCGACAAACUAUGGAGCAAAACAGUGAAUUAAAUAAACAAGAUGUAAUGACUCA